UGAGAGGGCGACCGGCCACACUGGGACUGAGACACGGCCCAGACUCCUACGGGAGGCAGCAGUGGGGAAUAUUGCACAAUGGGCGAAAGCCUGAUGCAGCGACGCCGCGUGAGGGAUGACGGCCUUCGGGUUGUAAACCUCUUUCAGCAGGGAAGAAGCGAAAGUGACGGUACCUGCAGAAGAAGCGCCGGCUAACUACGUGCCAGCAGCCGCGGUAAUACGUAGGGCGCGAGCGUUGUCCGGAAUUAUUGGGCGUAAAGAGCUCGUAGGCGGCUUGUCACGUCGGUUGUGAAAGCCCGGGGCUUAACCCCGGGUCUGCAGUCGAUACGGGCAGGCUAGAGUUCGGUAGGGGAGAUCGGAAUUCCUGGUGUAGCGGUGAAAUGCGCAGAUAUCAGGAGGAACACCGGUGGCGAAGGCGGAUCUCUGGGCCGAUACUGACGCUGAGGAGCGAAAGCGUGGGGAGCGAACAGGAUUAGAUACCCUGGUAGUCCACGCCGUAAACGGUGGGCACUAGGUGUGGGCAACAUUCCACGUUGUCCGUGCCGCAGCUAACGCAUUAAGUGCCCCGCCU
rnacentral:rRNA from 1 species